CAGGUGGUCAUUUCCCAAACACUUUCUGACUUAGUGCUUCUGGCAUUUCUAUCCUAUAAAAUUGAAGUAUCCACAUUCAACAUAUUCACAAAAGGCACAAAUCCAUACAAGGAAUGAGUGCCUACGUGUUGCUCAUUGCGGCGGCCUGUACCCUCUGGUGCGGGGCAGAAGGAUAUGCCGGUCUUGACCCUUUGUACAGCCAGACAACUUGGUACGGUAUCGGCACUCAGCGUCCGCGUCCCGUCACUUGGCAGUAUUGUAUGUGGGAGGGGCACAGGAUGAGGGUCGGCAGCAGCUGGCAGGUCGGCUGUGUAGAAUACAGCUGUAGGAAUGAUGGCUUUUACUAUGUCAGCCUUACUGGCAGAUCUCUUCAGAAGACCACUCCACGAUAUUGCAUAAACUUUGUGGAUGAAAACUGCAAUCGUCAUUCUGUGCAGUCGAGCAAUCCAUGGGCUACCUGCGACGGUGGUAGUACGACGACGGUCGUCCCUGGGUAGCAAACCACUUAACUUUGACAUCAGGCAACCUGCAACCUGAUCAGUCAGGACAACCAGCAACUGUUGCUAGUCCAGUUGGUUAUCAACAAAAUAAAACAUAACCACGUGGAAGGUUUUGUUUGCACUUAUAACUGUCAUUCAGAAAAAAACAAUAGCAAAUGUGCUUAAAAACUUGUUCCCAAGUGAAUGAGCAUCCUCACCUCUAGUUGUCACCUCCUAGCCCAUCAGGACAAUUCAGCACCGUGACUAGGACUGUUACUAUGCGUUUGACUAUAAAGAGGACGCCUAACUCUAACCCUAAUCC